rnacentral:rRNA from 1 species
UACGUAGGUGGCAAGCGUUAUCCGGAUUUACUGGGUGUAAAGGGCGUGUAGGCGGUCUCGCAAGUCGGAUGUGAAAUUCCCGGGCUUAACCCGGGCGCUGCAACCGAAACUGCGGGACUUGAGUGUUGGAGAGGAUAGUGGAAUUCCUAGUGUAGCGGUAAAAUGCGUAGAUAUUAGGAGGAACACCGGUGGCGAAGGCGACUAUCUGGACAAUAACUGACGCUGAGGCGCGAAAGCGUGGGGAGCAAACAGG